GGGUCAAGUUAUUAAGGGUUUAUGGUGGAUGCCUUGGGUCCAAAAGCCGAUGAAGGGCGUGGCAAGACUGCGAAAAGCCUCGGUAUGCUGUCUAGCAAGCUUAACCGUGGAUUCCCCAAUGGGGCAACCCUAUCCGGGUUAUACCGGAUAACUUUUUAAGAGGUAACCAGGCGAACUGAAACAUCUAAGUACCCUGAGGAAAUGAAAUCAAACGAGAUUCCCUGAGUAGUGGCGAACGAAAGGGGAGUAGCCUAAACCAAGUGGGUUUAGUGGUCUAAGGACUUAUAUCCAUUUGGUGUUGUAACGCGCACAUGUCUUUGCCUUAGAGAAGAUAUAAGAGUAAAAAACCUUUGUUUUAGCAAAAAGAAUCUGGAAUGAACUACCAAAGAAGGUGACAGUCCUGUAUGCGAAAAGACAUUGGCUCUUAGUGUGUCGUUGAGUACCACGGGACACGUGAAAUCUUGUGGGAAUCUGGGGGGACCACCCUCCAAGGCUAAAUACUUUUGGACACCGAUAGUGAACUAGUACCGUGAGGGAAAGGUGAAAAGAACCCCGGGAGGGGAGUGAAAUAGACCUGA
rnacentral:rRNA from 1 species